ACAGUGUCUGGUGGGUAGUUUGACUGGGGCGGUCUCCUCCUAAAGAGUAACGGAGGAGCACGAAGGUUGGCUAAUCCUGGUCGGACAUCAGGAGGUUAGUGCAAUGGCAUAAGCCAGCUUGACUGCGAGCGUGACGGCGCGAGCAGGUGCGAAAGCAGGUCAUAGUGAUCCGGUGGUUCUGAAUGGAAGGGCCAUCGCUCAACGGAUAAAAGGUACUCCGGGGAUAACAGGCUGAUACCGCCCAAGAGUUCAUAUCGACGGCGGUGUUUGGCACCUCGAUGUCGGCUCAUCACAUCCUGGGGCUGAAGUAGGUCCCAAGGGUAUGGCUGUUCGCCAUUUAAAGUGGUACGCGAGCUGGGUUUAGAACGUCGUGAGACAGUUCGGUCCCUAUCUGCCGUGGGCGCUGGAGAACUGAGGGGGGCUGCUCCUAGUACGAGAGGACCGGAGUGGACGCAUCACUGGUGUUCGGGUUGUCAUGCCAAUGGCACUGCCCGGUAGCUAAAUGCGGAAGAGAUAAGUGCUGAAAGCAUCUAAGCACGAAACUUGCCCCGAGAUGAGUUCUCCCUGACUCCUUGAGAGUCCUGAAGGAACGUUGAAGACGACGACGUUGAUAGGCCGGGUGUGUAAGCGCAGCGAUGCGUUGAGCUAACCGGUACUAAUG
rnacentral:rRNA from 1 species